rnacentral:lncRNA from 13 species
AUGAGAGGGAUCAUAAAGCAACUUUCAAAUUACCAGCCAGUACUGCUGGGGCACAGAAGAAACCAUUGUGGUACGAAGUCCACUGAGCAUAGGCUCUCAGAUCACAGGACACGAGUGGAGGAGGAGUGUCGCUGGCUUCAGCUGCAGACACUUUGGUCCGGGUAUGCGGAGGUUGGCCUUUGGUCCAGACCUAUGAAGACAUAA